CCCAAAAUGCCCCUUAAACCAUCGCAUUAGGAUUUGGGCUAUUUCUCUCUUCCUCUUCCUCUUCCUCUUCCGCCGCGGGCCUUGUCGGGGUGACACCAUGUCCGUGAGCUCCAAAAAUGGUAAGGCCACAUGCGGUGAAGAGAAAGAAACGAAAGAGGAGGGAAGACAAGUAUGACAGAGAUGAAGAAGAAGAAGCAGAAGCAGAACAAGUAGCGAUGGUUGAGAAUAAAACAGACCGACCAAAAUGGAACAGAGUCAACAGGCCAGUUUGAACUUGACGACAUUCCAAUUGCCCCAACUAAACAGAAACCCAAGAGCGGACCUGGGUUAUCCUUAUCCUUGAGAAAGGUUCUUUCGAAAUCGGCAAAGUUGGAAAGACUGAUCAACUCUUGAAUACUGAUGAUCACGCAAAUUUUUUGCCCAGAAGAAGGGCAAAAACCCUGCUCAUUUUAGGCCUGAUACUCUUCAUCAGGUUAGCAGACUCGGGCUGUUGUUGCCUAUUCGUUGUUUGAACUACAAGUGCUUAUAUUCUUUUGUUAAGUUAAUUUGAGCUACAGAAAUGAUUAAUUUGAGCUGUCUUAUGAGAUAAAGCACAAACUAGAUUCAAGAAGCUUAUAGAACAGCUGUUUCUAGAAUUCAGUUGAUAACACCAAUUAAUAAAGACGGGGAGGCUACGAUGUGUGUAUGUGAAGAUGGAGGAUGAUAAACUUAUUGAGAUUAAGCCAUAUGUUCGAAUCUCAAGGACAUUUAAGCAGUUCUCUGGUGUCAUGCUGCAGCUGCUACAAAAACUGAGUAUAUCUGCUGCUGGUAAGCGUGAAAAACUUAUGCUUAUGAUCAAGAACCCUGUGACCCAGUAUUGACCUGUUAACUCUCGUAAAUUAGGUCAGUGCAAAUGGCUCAUGGUGAAGUUGAGACAGACUAUACUGGUGAUUUUGUAUCAACUAUCAAUAUGUAGUUAUCCAUUGAGCGGCUGCCUACUGUGUCACAAUGAUUUUCCGGGCAUUGGCGGGAAAGUGGAACAUAUUGUGAUAUGUAAUACUGAUUUUAGUGAAAAUCAGUGGUAUCAAUGUCUCUAAUACUUUUAUAGUAACAAAAAAUAUAAAUAAAAAUUCUGAUAAUGUAAAUGUCAUGUUUCUCGAUAGGUUUUGUUUACAUCA